AACCCUGGACGGGGGAUCACUCGGCUCGUCCGUCGAUGAAGAGCGCGGCUAUCCGCGUGAACUGAUGAAAAUAACACUAACAUCUCAUUUUAAUAGAUAUAUCUGCCAAAAUUAUAUAAAAAUAUCUUGAAUACUAAAGAGUAU
rnacentral:rRNA from 1 species